rnacentral:lncRNA from 1 species
UUUCAAAAAGAUUUGUAACAUGACAUGAAUUCCCCACCGAAGUGAACUUCACGUUGGCAUCCAAUUUAAAAUGUUACAAAAACGACAUUAUUGCCCAACAUCUGUUUCAUCAUCUGAUGAUUCUGUUGUAAGAUUAUGAUGAGGAAGUUAUUUCAGCAGAAGCCAAGAGACCCUUAUGCUGCCAUUAUCCUUAGAUUACUUUCCUAUUACUCCUACGUCAGGCUCCUGGCUGGGAAGGCACAGAAUCAUCUCAUCAGAAAAGAACAUGGA